CUUUGACUGUCUUGACCAUGAAUGUAAGUGUGCCUUUCCUCACAAUUAAGGCUCCUGGAUGUUCCAAAUUGCAGCUUUUGUGAUUGGGGGGGAAGGCCUCUGACAUCGUAAAUAUUUAAUCACCAUUAAGAAUGUCCAAUACAUGAGGGGAGUCUGGUUUCAAAUUGGCUCAUUCAGAUGAUGAAAGCACAAAAGCCUCGCAGGGUAAAAAUAAAGUACCCUCUCCAAAAGUACCAGCCUUAGAGCUCAAGGUGGUUUCUGUUUCAGUUCCAUAGACUCCUGUGCAUGUCACCUGACCUUGAGCCAUGCGGCGACCAAGAAUAUCCGGUUUAUCGUUAUCAUUUUAUUUAUUUAUUUAUUGUCUUUUUGCCUUUUCUAGGGCCACUUCCCGCAGCAUAUGGAGGUUCCCAGGCUAGGGGUUGAAUCGGAGCUGUAGCCGCCGGCCUACACCACAGCCACAGCAACACGGGAUCUGAGCCGCGUCUGCAACCCACACCCUAGCUCAUGGCAAUGCCAGAUCCUCAACCCACUGAGCAAGGCCAGGGAUCGAACCUGCAACCUCAUGGUUCGCAGUCGGAUUCAUUAACCACUGAGCCAUGACGGGAACUCCCGGUUUACCUUUAAAUAUUCACGUGGGUGGGAUGGGCUGAGGGCUGGAGAUGAGAAAGGCUAGCAAUCUCUUCAUAAUCCUGUUUUGGUAAUCAUGAAUACAGACGGAAUUUCUAGCCUGGACUAAAGAAACUGCUGAAGUUCAGACUUAAGGAGAAACGUCUGAGAAGGAAAAUGCAGUGUGUUUGUUUCGUGUCUCAUUUGAACAUACACUUCAAGCGUUCAGCAGUGGUUUAGAGAUCAGAACCCUCCCCACCCCCCGCCUUUUGAACCUUUAGCCCCCAGUAGGUCCUGGUGUACUUUUAAGGUAAAGCUUUUAGUUUUAGGGUUCGGCUGGAAAAAAAUAUAUGUAUAUAAUCCUGCCCAGUCAGGUUUCCAUUUGUCUGUAUCACCAGGGUGAACUACGCGUAGGAAAGUCUGGACAAAGGGAAGAAAAAUGGGGCUUGUUUUCCGAUCAAGAUUUUGGGGAGCCAAACAUUUGGAGAGACGAGGCGUUCCGUUGUGCCUGGCAGUGUUCCAUGCGUUCCAUCAGUGGACAAACAGAAGCUGCAUGUCUCCUGGUGAAUGACCGUGAGAACAACAUGGAAUCCGAGAGGACAACUGUAAUGUUGGGAGCGAACCCAAAUUCCACCUACUGAAGGAACACAACACCCUUUAACCAAAGGCAAAGGCACUAUCACCCAGCAUACAGAUGCCCAGCAAUUGUCUGGCGCCACGGUGGGUGGGCAGGGAGGGUGACAUCCUGUGUUCCUUCGGCCAUCUCUUAACUGUGCUGCCUUUGCCUGACUUUCCUUGUUGAUUGAACUGCAUGCCACUCAUCUCUCAGUGUCAAUUCAAACGUAUUAAACGGCUCUUCGUCUUAUCAGCUUUCAACCAUCUACUCAUCAGUGGACCAGAAAGGAGGCUGGCUCGUUUCUUUUUCCUGUCAAGUCACCAAAAGGGGCUGGGAGUUCCGAUAAGGGCCUCGAAGUGGCAAACCAUAUAGACUUGAGCCAAGCUCUGGAGAAGGAAGAGGUCUUUAAGUCCUAGAACGAUAGCACUGGAACUAUUUGACCCACUGGCUGGCAUUUCCCGCAUGCCACCCAAGGGCGUUGUAGCUACUACAUAAACGUGGUGUAAAGAGACGUCAUUGGCAGCCAGAACGCAUAUUCUCAGUUGCUUUCCAUCUCUGCUGGUCCAGGCAUCCUUACAGACCACUGUCGGGCUCUGUAAAGUCAGAAAGCCACCUGAAGCACCAGUGAUAGCCAUCUUGUGACUGUGACCAAGUGGCUGCUGAACAGUUCUUAAUGUCCUCAGCCUCAGCAGGAAACCACUGAAUCUAUAAAGUCCUGUCCCACAGAAAUGAGUCAGAUGGUGGAUGGUCUGGUUAACCCCGAUUGCCUUUGGUGCCUGAGGGAGUUGAUCUUUGCUCAUCAUGAAGGCUUACCCAUCUAGUGAACGCCGCAAGUAGAAACUGCCCGGCGUUGGUCUGAACAGCCCAUUUCCGUGGUAGGAGCCCUCGGUCUGGAGGAUAAAUCUGCACCAUCUUCUCUUUGUUGGGUUUCAGCCCGUCGUGUUGCAAGGAGUUCCUGAUGUGCGAUACACGACACCCAACAUGAUGGGCUCCAGCAGCUGGGGAUGGGCGUGUGGUCACCGACG
ensembl:lncRNA